GACGAACGCUGGCGGCGUGCUUAACACAUGCAAGUCGAACGGAAAGGCCCUGCUUUUGUGGGGUGCUCGAGUGGCGAACGGGUGAGUAACACGUGAGUAGCCUGCCCUUGACUUUGGGAUAACUUCAGGAUACUGGGGCUAAUACCGGAUAGGAGCUCCUGCUGCAUGGUGGGGGUUGGAAAGUUUCGGCGGUUGGGGAUGGACUCGCGGCUUAUCAGCUUGUUGGUGGGGUAGUGGCUUACCAAGGCUUUGACGGGUAGCCGGCCUGAGAGGGUGACCGGCCACAUUGGGACUGAGAUACGGCCCAGACUCCUACGGGAGGCAGCAGUGGGGAAUAUUGCACAAUGGGCGGAAGCCUGAUGCAGCAACGCCGCGUGCGGGAUGACGGCCUUCGGGUUGUAAACCGCUUUCGCCUGUGACGAAGCGUGAGUGACGGUAAUGGGUAAAGAAGCACCGGCUAACUACGUG
rnacentral:rRNA from 1 species